UACGUAGGGUGCAGGCGUUAUUCGGAAUUACUGGGCGUAAAGCGUGCGCAGGCGGUUUGCUAAGACAGGUGUGAAAUCCCCGGGCUCAACCUGGGAAUGGCAUUUGAAACUGGCGUGCUAGAGUGAAUCAGAGGGGGGUAGAAUUCCACGUGUAGCAGUGAAAUGCGUAGAGAUGUGGAGGAACACCGAUGGCGAAGGCAGCCCCCUGGGAAAUCACUGACGCUCAAGCACGAAAGCGUGGGGAGCAAACAGG
rnacentral:rRNA from 1 species